GGCUCCAUAGCUCAGUGGUUAGAGCACUGGUCUUGUAAACCAGUGCUCUAACCAGAGUUCGAUCCUCGCUGGGGCCU